GUAACUGACGCUAAAGCUCGAAAGUGCGGGUAUCGAACAGGAUUAGAUACCCUGGUAGUCCGCACGGUAAACGAUGGAUGCCCGCUGUUUGCGAUAUACAGUAAGCGGCCAAGCGAAAGCGUUAAGCAUCCCACCUGGGGAGUACGCCGGCAACGGUGAAACUCAAAGGAAUUGACGGGGGCCCGCACAAGCGGAGGAACAUGUGGUUUAAUUCGAUGAUACGCGAGGAACCUUACCCGGGCUUGAACUGCAGGCGAACGAUACAGAGAUGUUGAGGCCCUUCGGGGCGCCUGUGGAGGUGCUGCAUGGUUGUCGUCAGCUCGUGCCGUGAGGUGUCGGCUUAAGUGCCAUAACGAGCGCAACCCCUUUCGUCAGUUGCCAUCAGGUGAUGCUGGGCACUCUGGCGACACUGCCACCGUAAGGUGUGAGGAAGGUGGGGAUGACGUCAAAUCAGCACGGCCCUUACGUCCGGGGCUACAUACGUGUUACAAUGGGUGAUACAGAGCGUCGGCGCUUGGCAAUAAGCGUCCAAUCGUGAAAGUCAUCCUCAGUUCGGAUUGGGGUCUGCAACCCGACCCCAUGAAGCUGGAUUCGCUAGUA
rnacentral:rRNA from 1 species